rnacentral:lncRNA from 1 species
CCCUCAUUCAUUCCCAUACUGUCCCCACGUCCCCUCAUUCAUUCCCAUACUGUCCCCAUGUCCCCUCAUUCACUCCCAUACUGUCCCCACGUCCCCUCAUUCAUUCCCAUACUGUCCCCACGUCCCCUCAUUCAUUCCCAUUCUGUCCCCAUAUUCCCUCAUUCAUUCCCAUACUGUCCCCAUAUCCCCUCAUUCAUUCCCGUACUGUCCCCAUAUCCCCUCAUUCACUCCCAUUCUGUCCCCAUAUCCCCUCAUUCAUCCCGCAGCUCUUUGGGUCGCCGUUCGGGUUCUGCUGCUGCUGGCGGUUCUGGCUGCUGCUCUGGGUUUCCUUAUGGGGCUGUCGGCGGCUGGAGCCGCUCGGAGGGAGCAGGGACGAGCGGCUGGGAUCAGUAUGGGGCUGGCUGGGCUGCUGGCGCUGCUGGCUCUGUCCCUGUGCUCGGUGGUGACACGGGGCAGCGCCUGGAGCUUCUCCUGGUCCUACAUCCUGGGCUGGGUCGGCGUCGUCCUCAUCAGCUCUGCAGGUACCGGGGGGUUGGGGGGUCACUGCUGCGCUGAGCUGUGACCGUCAGUGCAUUGAGCUGCUCCUGUUCUGUUGGGGGCCCCACGGCUGGGGGGGCACUGAGGGGGGGGUCCCUGUUCCAACCUCACCCCCCCCCCUCAGGGCUCUUCCAUCUCUGUGCUGCUGCAAAGGACCCGACCCCAGAGAGCUCUGAGUCGGGGGGAGGAUGAGGGGUGAUGGGACCCCCAAACUGCUCCCCCCACAGCGCCCCAUCGGAGCGGGGCUGUGCAGUCACCAUAACCCUAAACCUAACCCUAAACCUAACCCUAACACUAACACUAACCCUAACACUAACCCUAACUCCAGCCCCAAUCCUAACCCUAACCCUAAACCCCAAUCCUAACCCCAACCCUAACCCUAACCCUAACCCCAACCCUAACCCUAACCCU